GAUGAACGCUGGCGGCGUGCCUAACACAUGCAAGUCGAACGGAGUUGUCACCAUGAAGUUUUCGGAUGGAAUGGAGGCAACUUAGUGGCGGACGGGUGAGUAACGCGUGGGUAACCUGCCUCAUACUGGGGGAUAACAGCUGGAAACGGCUGCUAAAACCGCAUAAGAUCGCAUCACCGCAUGGUGAGGCGGUUAAAUAUCGAAAGAUAGGUAUGAGAUGGGCCCGCGUCUGAUUAGCUAGUUGGUGAGAUAAGAGCCCACCAAGGCGACGAUCAGUAGCCGGCUUGAGAGAGUGACCGGCCACAUUGGGACUGAGACACGGCCCAAACUCCUACGGGAGGCAGCAGUGGGGAAUAUUGCACAAUGGGGGAAACCCUGAUGCAGCGACGCCGCGUGAGUGAAGAAGUGCUUCGGCAUGUAAAGCUCUAUCAGCAGGGAAGAAGAUGACGGUACCUGACUAAGAAGCCCCGGCUAACU
rnacentral:rRNA from 1 species